GGGGGGGGGGUGCCUAUACAUGCAGUCGAGCGCAGGAAGCAGGCAGAUCCCCUUCGGGGGUGAUGCCUGUGGAAUGAGCGGCGGACGGGUGAGUAACACGUGGGCAACCUGCCUGUAAGAUCGGAAUAACUCCGGGAAACCGGGGCUAAUGCCGGGUAAUCCUUUUUUUCGCAUGAGAGAGAGGUAAAAGAUGGCCUUUGGCUAUCACUUACAGAUGGGCCCGCGGCGCAUUAGCUAGUUGGUGAGGUAAUAGCUCACCAAGGCGACGAUGCGUAGCCGACCUGAGAGGGUGAUCGGCCACACUGGGACUGAGACACGGCCCAGACUCCUACGGGAGGCAGCAGUAGGGAAUCUUCCGCAAUGGACGAAAGUCUGACGGAGCAACGCCGCGUGAACGAUGAAGGUCUUCGGAUCGUAAAGUUCUGUUGUUAGGGAAGAACAAGUACCGUGCGAAUAGAGCGGUACCUUGACGGUACCUAACGAGGAAGCCCCGGCUAACUACGUGCCAGCAGCCGCGGUAAUACGUAGGGGGCAAGCGUUGUCCGGAAUUAUUGGGCGUAAAGCGCGCGCAGGCGGUUUCUUAAGUCUGAUGUGAAAGCCCACGGCUCAACCGUGGAGGGUCAUUGGAAACUGGGGAACUUGAGGACAGAAGAGGAGAGUGGAAUUCCACGUGUAGCGGUGAAAUGCGUAGAUAUGUGGAGGAACACCAGUGGCGAAGGCGACUCUCUGGUCUGUUUCUGACGCUGAGGUGCGAAAGCGUGGGUAGCAAACAGGAUUAGAUACCCUGGUAGUCCACGCCGUAAACGAUGAGUGCUAGGUGUUAGGGGGCUUCCACCCCUUAGUGCUGAAGUUAACGCAUUAAGCACUCCGCCUGGGGAGUACGGCCGCAAGGCUGAAACU
rnacentral:rRNA from 1 species